CCUAUCUAGGCUUGAUAAAUGAGAUUAUGAGUAAAGGCAGGCGCAUGACAUAUGAGGAGCUUUGUAAUGCUGUGCUGCCGCACUGGCAUAACCUGAGAAAGCAUAAUGGAGAGCGUUAUGCAUACACAAGUCCUUCA